GCUAAAUUGACACCCAUUCAAUCAAUUUAAAAAUCAAGUUAACUCGCAAUAACGUAAAAGUAAAAAAGAGAGUAUAUAACUUGGGGGAACUAGGUCAAAACCCAAGUGAGAACUAAAACAAAUUAUUACUGCCUCAUUAAAAACCUUAAUAGUAAAACCUCAAAGGAUAAACCAGAUGAAGGAAAAAAGAGUACAGUGUUCCAAACAAAACUAACAAAAUCUAGGAAGAUAAUAUAUUCCUAGAAUAAACAUUACAAAUAUUAGUGAGGAUAAUAUCCCACCAUCGAUAAUCAAGGAUGUCCCCAUAUUUGCCUGCAUAUAAUUCAUUAAAGAGAAAAUAAGUAGAAAACUUGGGGUGAGAUAAGUUUCAAAUCACUUCAAGUGGUAUAACAAUUUCAAUGGAUUGAAAUAAAUACACAAAAGUAAAUUUGAAAAAUCAAACCAUGUAAGGUGUGUACAUAUAAUUGUACAAAAUAUGUAUAUCAAAUGCAAUGUUCGUGCAUCUCUACUACUUUUGCAUGUUAUAUCGAUGAUUCAAACUCAAUAAAUUAAACUAUGAGCACAUGGUAACUAAAAGAAGAACAACACACUUUUAGGUCAAUUUUAAGUACAUCGUACACAUUCACUACAAUGACAUUGUUAGGUGGCUAAUUAGGGUCCUUCAUCAUUGCAUGUUAAACAAUUUUUGUAUGAUGUAUGUUUCACAAAAAAAAAUAAUAUAUACAAACAAAUAUCAUCCUGGAAUCUGAUAACAAAUGAAUACCAUCGUCACCUUUCACAAGUUAGGUACGUUAUAAACAAAGUAUCACUAUAGCACCAUCCCUAACUCACUUGAACAUGGUGACUAGUCUCGAUAAUGUUUAUGAUGAAACUAUACACAACACAUAUAUCCUCAAGGAAAACCUUUUAAUUACAUCACAUCGGUGAAUCAAUUCUUUUACUAACAAUACUAAAAUUUUAAUUCUGGUUAAAAUAUCAAGUACCUAUGCCAUUUAUUUUUCUCUCUCAUUCCUAUAUAUUAAUCCUUGAAUUAUUGAAUAUAAAACUAUGAAAUAGUUAUUAACAAUAAGCAUACGCCUAAUUGGAUUUAGUAAUUAUCAACCCGUGGCAUUGUUAGUACAUCAUUUUAUUAUAAUUAAAUUAAUAAAAAUUUAAUAAUGUUUAUAUGAAAUAAAAGAAAGUGCAGGAUUAUAUCUGAAAUAUUAUACUUCUAACAAAACAAAUUAAUGAAAAUAGUUUAAAAUUUUAACUUGCUUCCACUCCUUUGGCAGUUAACCAAGAUCCUCAAGAUAACACAAACUCAAUCAUUUUCUCUCCUCUUUUGAACUCUAUAACUCAAUUAUAAUCUUCUUAGAUUAUAAAUCAAGCACAUAGAUCAAAUUUAUCUUUAAAAAUCUCUUCGUCGUUAAUUCCCCAACAAACAAUAUUGUUUAAAUAUGCUUCUUCAUUGUAUCACACUUCCAAUCAUUUAUAUAUAUAUAUAUAUAUAUAUAUAUAUAUAUGAAAGUAUAAGAGAAAUUAUAAGAGUGACAACAAUAUGAUAAGCAAAGAAAAUGGAAGGUCAAAAUAGAGAAAUAAGAUUUACUCUAUCAGGCUUAUACAAUAACCUCCAGAGCACCUCAACGAUCCAAGAGGCUCACUUGGAUCUAAUUUAUAGCAGUCGUAGUCGGUAUCACACUUUGCUGUAAUGUACAAUAAGGUAUAAGGAAAUAUUACUAAUAAAUGGGUGAAAGGUUGUGUAUAAAAUAAACAAAAAAUAUUAAGAGAAUGAACUUACUUUGACCAACGACUACAUUGAUAAAAAGGGAAACAAAAAGGAUCAAAAUAUAAACAAACUUGAGAGUUUGAACCAUUUUUUUCACCUUUGCAUGUAAAAAAUAUAAAAUGGUUUAGGUACUUUAUAUAGUCAAAAUCUCUUGCUAUGUUUACAUCAUUUUUAAUGAUAAUGUUGUUACAAU
rnacentral:lncRNA from 1 species